CGCGGAUCGAACGCGAGAGAGCUCACAUGAGAAACUUUCUAUAACGGGUUCGAGUCACUCGAUCUCUCCGCCGGCUGCCCAGUGUUUAUGUAACCACUUACGUGCUCGUUACGUGGCCACAAACCGAUAUUAAAUUCCUACCACAAAAGCAUCGUAUUUUUGCUCCACUUCUCUCUGUGUUCCUGUUGUGAAAGCAUUCAAAUCUUCGAAAAAUGUCGCCCAGGGAGUGACUGUGUUCUAGCCUUUCGUUUUAGCUUCGAGCCAGUACGAUUGGGCCAACGGAAGGAAUGUUUUCAACAGCUUUCGCAGAGAAAAACUUUUACUCGAUUUGAAGUUUUAUUUUGAUAUACUGACUUUGAUAAUUACUUGGCCGAUCGCUGUGGAAAUAAUUAAAACAUUUCUCUGUUGAAAAUUACACGAGGCACAAUCGUGUCGUUGGUCACAUAAUCGUGAAAACAAUUGCACGACGCUGCAGCAACGUCAUCGACUAUUCCCCGCAGGAUUUUUAAAAUUUGGCAGAUCCUCGUAUAUUUUAAGAUACGCGGAGAUACAAGAUAACGACGCGAUUGUACACGGUUAGAUAAUCUCGGAUCGUCGAUCACAUGAUCACACGAAGCAGAUAAAAAAGAAGAGGAACGAGCGACUGUAACAUUAGGAAGUGUUUCUCGUGUUAAUAAAUUUCUUGUUUCGAAACGAACGACGUGAACGAGAUAGAAGAUAAAGGAGAUAAAGAGGCUUAACAAUUGCAGAGAUCGUCAAUAAUACGUUCUGCAACGGUUUAAUAAUUGCAGAUCAACAAGAGUUUCCCGACGGUGGCUGGUAAACAAUGUAACAAUCACGCUCGACGAUCCAUCGACGCACUGAUCACGACUCUACGGGGCCUGCGAAAUCAUAAUGGCGUCGCUGUGGCGAGCGUCAUCCUAUACAGGCGUUGAAAUCACCGACAGCAUCAAACAUCCAGUCACGUACCGCCGCGUCGGAAACUCCUGAAGGAGAUGAUUCUGUCUAGCGAAACGUGCAACGAUUCCAGGAACAAUAUCUACUUAAUUUUCCAAGUCUCUGUGCGAGAACGUCGUGACUUCGCGGCAAGAAGCAAGCGGAGCCGGUGAGCGCGAGCUGAUAAGCGAACGCGGCCAUUA